rnacentral:lncRNA from 1 species
GGAGAAACUCCAAUUCUUGAGAAACCCCAAUUCUUGAGGUAACUAAAAGUAGACGUUCAGAAGAUCAGGGCUUCUUCACAGAAGCCUUAAGGACUACAAAUAACAUGGGUUCUGUUUUUCAGGCAACAAGACUAUCAACUCUGAGGUUUAAAUAAAGGCUGAAUUUAUCUCGUUUAGCAAGGAAUAUUGGAACAUGGUUUAACUAAGGAUUGCUUGAUCGAGAUUUAUAUACUUUUCUGGUUCAGUUUUCAGGUUGAAGGUGCCCCAUUUCCCCUCCAGAGGGGUCUGCCUUCCUAAAGGUACACCGUGCCCUCCCGUUCUUCCAGGUUGCCCACUGUACACUCCGAAGAGAACCGUGACGAACUUGCCCUCUUGGGUCUUGAGUUGCCCAGAUGCGUGUUGCUGUCGCUGCAGCGGAAGACCUUCAUCCUACUGCUCACUCCUCGGCUCGACAAAAGCAAUUUUUCACUCCCGGGCUUUGCAGGGGCCAGACCCAGGUGCCUGCAGCUCGGGCGCCCUAAAAGAGGAAACCUGUUCCCCUCCUCCCAGGUUUCUGGUUUCUCCACCCCACCUCCCCGCAGCCCUCCGCUCCCUGCACCCAGGGCUUCCGGCCUCCACCCCGACAUUCCAGGUAACCUGACUCCCCCGACGGCAGAGGCGGGGGCCGGUGCCGGGAGGGCGCGGCCACGUGACCUCCCCGCCCGCCGGGAGCGCGCGCCCCACUCGGGGAACCGGGGGAGCCCAGCGCCCUGCUUAGAGACCG